AAUCAACGCUGGCGGCGUGCCUCAGACAUGCAAGUCGAACGCGAAAGUCCCCUUCGGGGGACGAAGUAGGAGUGGCGCACGGGUGAGUAACACGUAGGUAAUCUACCUUUGGAUGGGGAAUAACAACCGGAAACGGUUGCUAAUACCGCAUAAUGCAGCGGCACCUAAUGGUGACAGUUGUUAAAGCUGGGGAUCGCAAGACCUGGCGCUUGAAGAGGGGCCCGCGCCUGAUUAGCUAGNGGUGGGGUAACGGCUACCAAGGCGACGAUCAGUAUCCGGCCUGAGAGGGCGGACGGACACACUGGGACUGAGACACGGCCCAGACUCCUACGGGAGCAGCAGUGGGGAAUUGUUCGCAAUGGGCGCAAAGCCUGACGACGCAACGCCGCGUGGAGGACGAAGAUCUUCGGG
rnacentral:rRNA from 1 species